rnacentral:rRNA from 1 species
UACGUAGGGGGCUAGCGUUGUCCGGAUUCACUGGGCGUAAAGGGUGCGCAGGCGGCCGAGUGUGUGAGGCGUGAAAGCCCGGGGCUUAACCCCGGAAUUGCACCUCAAACUACACGGCUAGAGCAUUGGAGAGGGUAGCAGAAUUCAUGGUGUAGCAGUGAAAUGCGUAGAUAUCAUGAGGAAUACCAGAGGCGAAGGCGGCUACCUGGACAAUUGCUGACGCUCAGGCACGAAAGCGUGGGGAGCAAAAGGG